rnacentral:rRNA from 1 species
CCACGGAGGGUGCAAGCGUUAUUCGGAAUCACUGGGCGUAAAGGACGCGUAGGCGGGUUGGCAAGUCAGAUGUGAAAUCCUACAGCUUAACUGUAGAACUGCAUUUGAAACUGCUAACCUAGAGUAUGGGAGGGGGAGAUGGAAUUAGUGGUGUAGGGGUAAAAUCCGUAGAUAUCUCUAGGAAUACCGAAAGCGAAGGCGAUCUCCUGGAACAUAACUGACGCUAAGACGUGAAAGCGUGGGGAGCAAACAGGAUUAGAAACCCUUGUAGUCC